GUACUCGAGCGGCGAACGGGUGAGUAACACGUGAGCAACCUGCCCUAGGCUUUGGGAUAACCCUCGGAAACGGGGGCUAAUACCGAAUAUGACCUUAUACCGCAUGGUGUUUGGUGGAAAGUUUUUCGGCCUGGGAUGGGCUCGCGGCCUAUCAGCUUGUUGGUGGGGUGAUGGCCUACCAAGGCGACGACGGGUAGCCGGCCUGAGAGGGCGACCGGCCACACUGGGACUGAGACACGGCCCAGACUCCUACGGGAGGCAGCAGUGGGGAAUAUUGCACAAUGGGCGGAAGCCUGAUGCAGCGACGCCGCGUGAGGGAUGACGGCCUUCGGGUUGUAAACCUCUUUCAGCAGGGACGAAGCGUAAGUGACGGUACCUGCAGAAGAAGCACCGGCCAACUACGUGCCAGCAGCCGCGGUAAGACGUAGGGUGCGAGCGUUGUCCGGAUUUAUUGGGCGUAAAGAGCUCGUAGGCGGCUUGUCGCGUCGACUGUGAAAACCCGCAGCUCAACUGCGGGCCUGCAGUCGAUACGGGCAGGCUAGAGUUCGGUAGGGGAGACUGGAAUUCCUGGUGUAGCGGUGAAAUGCGCAGAUAUCAGGAGGAACACCGGUGGCGAAGGCGGGUCUCUGGGCCGAAACUGACGCUGAGGAGCGAAAGCGUGGGGAGCGAACAGGAUUAGAUACCCUGGUAGUCCACGCUGUAAACGUUGGGCGCUAGGUGUG
rnacentral:rRNA from 1 species